rnacentral:rRNA from 1 species
GACGAACCGUGCGAACGUUAUUCGGAAUCACUGGGCUUAAAGCGCGUGUAGGCGGGACGGCACGUCGGUCGCUGAAAGCCCCCGGCUCAACCGGGGAACGGGCGCCGAUACGACCGGCCUGGAGGGACGUAGGGGGACCUGGAACUUCCGGUGGAGCGGUGAAAUGCGUUGAUAUCCACAGGAACUCCGGUGGCGAAGGCGGCACGCUGGACCUUUUCUGACGCUGAGGCGCGAAAGCCAGGGGAGCGAACGGG